UACGUAGGGGGCAAGCGUUGUCCGGAUUUAUUGGGCGUAAAGCGCUCGCAGGUGGUUCGUUGCGUCGUACGUGAAAGACCCCGGCUCAACUGGGGGGUGUCGUGCGAUACGGGCGAACUGGAGGCCAGUAGGGGGAUGCGGAAUUCCGGGUGUAGUGGUGGAAUGCGUAGAGAUCCGGAGGAACACCAGCGGCGAAGGCGGCAUCCUGGACUGGUCCUGACACUCAGGAGCGAAAGCGUGGGGAGCGAUCCGG
rnacentral:rRNA from 1 species